rnacentral:rRNA from 1 species
UACGUAGGGUGCAAGCGUUGUCCGGAAUCAUUGGGCGUAAAGCGCGCGUAGGUGGCUUCGUAAGUCCGUUGUGAAAGUCAAAGGCUCAACCUUUGAAUGCCGAUGGAUACUGCGAAGCUAGAGUACGGAAGAGGCGAGUGGAAUUCCUGGUGUGGCGGUGGAAUGCGCAGAUAUCAGGAGGAACACCAAUAGCGAAGGCAGCUCGCUGGGACGUUACUGACACUAAGGCGCGAAAGCGUGGGGAGCGAACAGG